rnacentral:rRNA from 1 species
GAAGCGGCAACAGCUCAAAUUUGAAAUCUGGCGCAAGCCCGAGUUGUAAUUUGUAGAGGAUGCUUCUGGGUAGCGGCCGGUCUAAGUUCCUUGGAACAGGACGUCAUAGAGGGUGAGAAUCCCGUAUGUGACUGGCUUGCACCCUCCACGUAGCUCCUUCGACGAGUCGAGUUGUUUGGGAAUGCAGCUCUAAAUGGGAGGUAAAUUUCUUCUAAAGCUAAAUACCGGCCAGAGACCGAUAGCGCACAAGUAGAGUGAUCGAAAGAUGAAAAGCACUUUGGAAAGAGAGUUAAAAAGCACGUGAAAUUGUUGAAAGGGAAGCGCCCGCAACCAGACUUUGCGGCAGUGUUCGGCCGGUCUUCUGACCGGUUUACUCGCUGUCGUGAGGCCAUCAUCGUCUGGGACCGCUGGAUAAGACCUUAGGAAUGUAGCUUCCCUCGGGAAGUGUUAUAGCCUCUGGUGAUGCAGCGCGUCUCGGGCGAGGUCCGCGCUUCGGCAAGGAUGAUGGCGUAAUGGUUGUCGGCGGCCCGUCUUGAAACACGGACCAAGGAGUCUAACAUCUAUGCGAGUGUUCGGGUGUCAAACCCCUACGCGUAAUGAAAGUGAACGGAGGUGGGAACUUUUUUGUGCACCAUCGACCGAUCCUGAUGUCCUCGGAUGGAUUUGAGUAAGAGCAUAGCUGUUGGGACCCGAAAGAUGGUGAACUAUG